AGGAAAAUAUGUCGGAUUUUUAGGUUAGAUUGAUUUUGUCUAUAAAAAUUGGCUAAAAUCGGAUAUUUUUAUAUACAAGUUUUUGCGUGUUAAUUUUUUGUCUUAAUGACAAUUUUUUUUAAUUGUAGUUUUUGAUAUUAAAUUUUUUGGAAACAUAGAUUUAGAUAAUUUAUUUUAGGAUUGUUGAAAAUUGUGCCAGCAUACGCGGUUAUAC
rnacentral:rRNA from 1 species